rnacentral:rRNA from 1 species
UUAAGUGAACCGCCUGGGGAGUACGGUCGCAAGAUUAAAACUCCAAAGGAAUAGACGGGGACCCGCACAAGUGGUGGAGCAUGUGGUUUAAUUCGAAAAUACGCGAAGAACCUUACCUAGCCUUGACAUUGAUUGAAUACUUUAGAGAUAGAGUAGUGCCCUUCGGGGAACAUGAAAACAGGUGCUGCACGGCUGUCGUCAGCUCGUGUCGUGAGAUGUUGGGUUAAGUUCCGCAACGAGCGCAACCCUCGUCCUUAGUUGCCAGCAGGUUAAGCUGGGCACUUUAAGGAGACUGCCUUCGCAAGGAGGAGGAAGGUGAGGACGACGUCAAGUCAUCAUGGCCCUUAUGGCUAGGGCUACACACGUGCUACAAUGGGGCGUACAGAGAGUUGCGAUACCCGAGGUGGAGCCAAUCUCAUAAAGCGUCUCUCAGUUCGGAUUGAAGUCAACUCGACUUCAUGAAGCUGGAAUCACUAGUAAUCGUAGAUCAGCAAUGCUACGGUGAAUACGUUCCCGGGUCUUGUACUCACCGCCCGUCACA